rnacentral:rRNA from 1 species
AGACGUCUACAUUAGAUACCCGGGUAGUCCCAGCCGUAAACUAUGCGCGUUAGGUGUAUCGGUGACCACGAGUCACCGAGGUGCCGAAGGGAAACCGUGAAACGUGCCGCCUGGGAAGUACGGUCGCAAGGCUGAAACUUAAAGGAAUUGGCGGGGGAGCACAACAACGGGUGGAGCCUGCGGUUUAAUUGGACUCAACGCCGGACAACUCACCGGGACGACAGCAAUAUGUAGGCCAGGCUGAAGACCUUGCCUGAAUCGCUG